GAACGCGAAAGCCCCUUCGGGGGUCAGUAGAGUGGCGCACGGGUGAGUAACACGUAGGCAAUCUGCCCUCUGGUGGGGGACAACUGUCCGAAAGGACAGCUAAUACCGCAUGAGACCACAGCACCUCCGGGUGCAGGGGUCAAAGGUGGCUUCGGCUACCGCCAGAGGAGGAGCCUGCGGAGCAUCAGCUUGUUGGUGGGGUAACGGCCUACCAAGGCUAAGACGCUUAGCUGGUCUGAGAGGAUGAUCAGCCACACUGGCACUGAAACACGGGCCAGACUCCUACGGGAGGCAGCAGUGGGGAAUCUUGGACAAUGGGCGAAAGCCUGAUCCAGCCACGCCGCGUGAGUGAUGAAGGCCUUCGGGUUGUAAAGCUCUGUGGGGAGGGACGAAAAAGGU
rnacentral:rRNA from 1 species